GACAGAGGUGCCAAGCGUUAGGCGGAAUCACUGGGCUUAAAGCGUGUGUAGGCGGAUCGUUAAGUACCUUGUGAAAUCCCACGGCUCAACCGUGGAACUGCUGGGUAUACUGGCGGUCUUGAGCCACCUAGGGGCAACUGGAACAAGCGGUGGAGCGGUGAAAUGCGUAGAUAUCGCUUGGAACGCCAACGGCGAAAACAGGUUGCUGGGGGUGUGCUGAUGCUGAGACACGAAAGCCAGGGGAGCGAACGGG
rnacentral:rRNA from 1 species